rnacentral:rRNA from 1 species
CACUGCUCAGUAACACGUGGACAACCUGCCCUGAGGACUGGAAUAAUCCCGGGAAACUGGGGGUAACUCCAGAUAUGUCAGAACUCCUGGAAUGGGUUCUGGCAGAAAGGCUCCGGCGCCUCAGGAUGGGUCUGCGGCCUAUCAGGGUAGUAGUGGGUGUAACGUACCUACUAGCCUACGACGGGUACGGGUUGUGAGAGCAAGAGCCCGGAGAUGGAUUCUGAGACAUGAAUCCAGGCCCUACGGGGUGCAGCAGGCGCGAAAACUUUACAAUGCGGGCAACCGCGAUAAGGGGACCUCGAGUGCUGGGUUACAAACCUGGCUGUUGGGCUGCCUAAAAAGCAGUCUAUAGCAAGGGCCGGGCAAGACCGGUGCCAGCCGCCGCGGUAACACCGGCGGCUCGAGUGGUAACCGCUAUUAUUGGGUCUAAAGGGUCUGUAGCCGGCCGACUAAGUCUCUUGGGAAAUCUGGCAUCUCAAGUGUCAGGCUGCCAGGGGAUACUGGUCGGCUUGGGACCGGGAGAGGUGAGAGGUACCUCGGGGGUAGGGGUGAAAUCUUGUAAUCCUCGAGGGACCACCAGUGGCGAAGGCGUCUCACCAG